GAUUAACGCUGGCGGCGUGCCUAACACAUGCAAGUCGAGCGGCAGCGAGUUUUACACUGACUUCUGGAAGCUUCUAGUUGAAAGAGAAGAUUUAUUCAAGAAUUUUGUGUAAACUGUCGGCGAGCGGCGGACGGCUGAGUAACGCGUGGGAACGUACCCCAAAGUGAGGGAUAACGCAUCGAAAGGUGUGCUAAUACCGCAUAUGGUCUUCGGAUUAAAGCCUUCGGGCGCUUUGGGAACGGCCUGCGUAAGAUUAGAUAGUUGGUGGGGUAAUGGCCUACCAAGUCGACGAUCUUUAACUGGUUUGAGAGGAUGAUCAGUCAGACUGGAACUGAGACACGGUCCAGACUCCUACGGGAGGCAGCAGUGAGGAAUCUUCCACAAUGGGCGAAAGCCUGAUGGAGCAACGCCGCGUGCAGGAUGAAGGCCUUCGGGUUGUAAACUGCUUUUAUAAGUGAGGAUUAUGACAGUAACUUAUGAAUAAGGAUCGGCUAACUACGUG
rnacentral:rRNA from 1 species